rnacentral:rRNA from 1 species
GACGAACGCUGGCGGCGUGCUUAACACAUGCAAGUCGAACGCAGUGGCGAACGGGUGAGUAAUACGUGGGUAACCUGCCCUCCUUUUUGGGUUAAGCCUUGGAAACGGGUUCUAAUACCGAAUAAAGGGGGAUGGGCUCGCGGCCGAUCAGCUUGUUGGUGGGUUGAUGGCCUACCAAGGCGGUGACGGGUAGCCGGCCUGAGAGGGUGCACGGCCACAUAGGGACGGAGCUACGGCCAAGGGUCCUACGGGAGGCAGAAGUGGGGGAUAUGGCACAAUGGGUGAAAGCCUGAUGCAGCGUAGCCGAGUGGGGGAUGAAGGCUUUAAGGUUGUAAACCUAUUGAGCUAUCGAACGGGUAGGUAGAGAAGAAGCGACGGCUAACUACGUGCCAGCAGCCGCGGUAAUUC